rnacentral:rRNA from 1 species
UACCUGCGGAGGGAUCAUUACUGAGUGAGGGCUCACGCCCGACCUCCAACCCUUUGUGAACCAAACUUGUUGCUUCGGGGGCGACCCUGCCGACGACUUUGUCGCCGGGCGCCCCCGGAGGUCUUCUAAACACUGCAUCUUUGCGUCGGAGUUUAAACAAAUUAAACAAAACUUUCAACAACGGAUCUCUUGGUUCUGGCAUCGAUGAAGAACGCAGCGAAAUGCGAUAAGUAAUGUGAAUUGCAGAAUUCAGUGAAUCAUCGAAUCUUUGAACGCACAUUGCGCCCUUUGGUAUUCCGAAGGGCAUGCCUGUUCGAGCGUCAUUUCACCACUCAAGCCUGGCUUGGUAUUGGGCGUCGCGGUGUUCCGCGCGCCUUAAAGUCUUCCGGCUGAGCUGUCCGUCUCUAAGCGUUGUGGAUUUUUCAAUUCGCUUCGGAGUGCGGGUGGCCGCGGCCGUUAAAUCUUUAUUCAAAGGUUGACCUCGGAUCAGGUAGGGAUACCCGCUGAACUUAAGCAUAUCAU